AAACGGCUACCACAACUAAGGUUGGCAGCAGGCGCGCAAAUUGCCCAAUAGCAACACAUCGCUGAGGCAGCGAAGAGAAAUAGCAACUUCAUGCGGCCCUGCCGUGUGAAGAUUGCCAUGGACGAUAUCUAAACCUGUCGGUGAGUAUCAAUUGGUGGACAAGUCUGGUGCCAGCACCCGCGGUAAUUCCAGCACCAAUAGCGUAUAUUAAUGCUGCUGCUGUUAAAAAGCUCGUAGUUGGAUCAAGAGUUGGACAGUGCACGGCGGCCUCGUUUGUUAGUUUGGCUCCUGGUCAGGCUAGCGGCGAUGGAACAACCCCGUGCGCCAAACUGUCCACUCUAACAGGCCGAAACGGUUCCCUGUGAGUAGGCUCCUUCAUUGGGGCUGAAAGCGCCUACGCAUCUACCAUAUGCAUACGGGACGUCGGCCAAUGUUACUGUGAACAAACCAGCGUGUCCAAAGCAGGCUCCCGCCUGAAUGUUCGAGCAUGGAAUAACAAGGGAUCGGUUCUCUCGGUUCUUUUUGUUGGUUUUUAACCCGAGAAGAAGUAAUUCAGGCCACGGUGUCUGAGUUGAGUUUCCCUGGCUCUCGGGUCAGGCCUCAACUAGGCCGUGUCCUUACGGGAUCAAUAGGGACUGACGGGGUCGUACGUACUUCCGCGUCAGAGGUGAAAUUCUUAGAUCGCGGGAAGACGAACUUCUGCGAAAGCAUUCGACAAGAAUGUCUUCAUUAAUCAAGAACGAGAGUGUGGGGAUCGAAGAUGAUCAGAUACCGUCGUAGUCCACUACUGUAAACAAUGCCGUCUCAGGAUUGAGAAGCGAACGUAAUGACUUUCACAGCACUAACCCCUGAAACGAGAAAUCAAAGAUUAUGGGUUCAGGGGGGAGUACAUUCGCAAGGCUGAAACUUAAAGGAAUUGACGGAAUGACACCACAAGGCGUGGAGUAUGCGGCUUAAUUUGACUCAACACGGGGAAUUUUACUAGGUCAGGACAAUGUAAGGAUUGACAGAUUGAGAGCUCUUUCUCGAUCCGUUGUGUGGUGGUGCAUGGCCGCUCCUGGUUGGUGGAGUGAUUUGUCUGGUUGAUUCCGUUAACGAACGAGAUCUCGACCCUUAAAUAGGUCCCUCGUCGACUGUAGUCUUGCGGGUGCUAGCUCGCUGGAUAACCCCGGGACGAGACUGGGGGAAAACUUCUUAAGGGGACUGUGUGCGUAUAUAGCACGCGGAAGAGCGAGCCAAUAGCAGGUCUGUGAUGCUCCUAAAUGUCCUAGGCUGCACGCGCACUACACUGAUGCAAUAAACGAGUCUGAGUGCCUCCUGGCAACCUACCUGGAAGCGGGUGGGAAAUCUUUUGAACUUGCAUCGUGAUGAGGAUAGACGAUUGCAAUUAUUCUCCUUGAAUGAGGAAUGCCUAGUAGGCACAAGUCAUCAGCUUGUACUGAUUACGUCCCUGCCAUUUGUACACACCGCCCGUCGUUGCUACUGAUUGGCUGUAGGGUAGAGAUGGGCGGAUCUCGAGCAGUUGGGGCGACCUUUCUGUUUGGGAGAAACCUAUCAAUAUUCUGCAGCUAGAAGAAGCAAAAGUCGUAACAAGGUUGCUGUAGGUGAACCUGCAGCAG
rnacentral:rRNA from 1 species